rnacentral:rRNA from 1 species
UACGGGGGGGCAAGCGUUGUUCGGAAUUACUGGGCGUAAAGGGCGCGUAGGCGGCUCGUUAAGUGGCUAGUGAAAUCCCGGGGCUCAACUCCGGGGCUGCCGGUCAUACUGGCGAGCUGGAGCACGGUAGAGGCGGAUGGAAUUCCCGGUGUAGCGGUGGAAUGCGUAGAGAUCGGGAAGAACAUCAGUGGCGAAGGCGGUCUGCUGGGCCGUUGCUGACGCUGAGGCGCGACAGCGUGGGGAGCAAACAGG